rnacentral:other from 1 species
GGUUUCCUGGGGCGUACGAAAGUAGGCGAAUGUCCCUGAGCCGAUGCUUUUAGAAAAGGGGACCACUGGCCCGUCAUGAGCAAGCCCGGCAUGUACCGGGAAGCCUACGACGGAUCCCACUUGCUCCCCGCCUUGGACCAAUGGGUUCAAGGGCCAACGCCGUAAACGGCGCCUCCGGGAAACCA